CCUACGGGAGGCUGCAGUGGGGAAUAUUGGACAAUGGGGGGAACCCUGAUCCAGCCAUGCCGCGUGUGUGAAGAAGGCCCUCGGGUUGUAAAGCACUUUCAGUGAGGAAGAACGCCUGGUGGUUAAUACCCAUCAGGAAAGACAUCACUCACAGAAGAAGCACCGGCUAACUCCGUGCCAGCAGCCGCGGUAAUACGGAGGGUGCGAGCGUUAAUCGGAAUUACUGGGCGUAAAGCGCGCGUAGGUGGCUUGAUAAGCCGGUUGUGAAAGCCCCGGGCUCAACCUGGGAACGGCAUCCGGAACUGUCAAGCUAGAGUGCAGGAGAGGAAGGUAGAAUUCCCGGUGUAGCGGUGAAAUGCGGAGAGAUCGGGAGGAAUACCAGUGGCGAAGGCGGCCUUAUGGACUGACACUGACACUGAGGUGCGAAAGCGUGGGUAGCAAACAGGAUUAGAUACCCUUGUAGUC
rnacentral:rRNA from 1 species